UCCCCGGGCUCANCCUGGGAACUGCGUUCUGAACUGGGUGACUAGAGUGUGUCAGAGGGAGGUAGAAUUCCACGUGUAGCAGUGAAAUGCGUAGAGAUGUGGAGGAAUACCGAUGGCGAAGGCAGCCUCCUGGGAUAACACUGACGUUCAUGCCCGAAAGCGUGGGUAGCAAACAGGAUUAGAUACCCUGGUAGUCCACGCCCUAAACGAUGUCGAUUAGCUGUUGGGCAGCAUGACUGCUUAGUAGCGAAGCUAACGCGUGAAAUCGACCGCCUGGGGAGUACGGUCGCAAGAUUAAAACUCAAAGGAAUUGACGGGGACCCGCACAAGCGGUGGAUGAUGUGGAUUAAUUCGAUGCAACGCGAAGAACCUUACCUGGUCUUGACAUGUACGGAACCCUCCAGAGACGGAGGGGUGCCUUCGGGAGCCGUAACACAGGUGCUGCAUGGCUGUCGUCAGCUCGUGUCGUGAGAUGUUGGGUUNNNNNNNNNNACGAGCGCAACCCUUGUCAUUAGUUGCCAUCAUUAAGUUGGGCACUCUAAUGAGACUGCCGGUGACAAGCCGGAGGAAGGUGGGGAUGACGUCAAGUCCUCAUGGCCCUUAUGACCAGGGCUUCACACGUCAUACAAUGGUCGGUACAGAGGGUAGCCAAGCCGCGAGGUGGAGCCAAUCUCACAAAACCGAUCGUAGUCCGGAUUGCACUCUGCAACUCGAGUGCAUGAAGUCGGAAUCGCUAGUAAUCGCAGGUCAGCAUACUGCGGUGAAUACGUUCCCGGGUCUUG
rnacentral:rRNA from 1 species